rnacentral:rRNA from 1 species
UACGUAGGAGGCGAGCGUUGUCCGGAGUUACUGGGCGUAAAGGGUGCGUAGGCGGGCCGGUUAGUUUGCGGUGAAAGCUCCUGGCUCAACUGGGAGAUGGCCGUGAAGACGGCGGGUCUUGAGGGGCGGAGAGGGACGUGGAAUUCCGGGUGGAGCGGUGAAAUGCGUAGAGAUCCGGAAGAACACCGACGGCGAAGGCAGCGUCCUGG